CCCGGCGUAGCUCAAUGGAUAGAGCCUCUGUUUUCUAGUGCAGUCCGACGUCGCAAUCGGAGUUGUAACGGCAGAGAGAUGCAGGUUCAAGUCCUGCCACCGGUC
rnacentral:tRNA from 1 species